CGCGCACCCACGGGCCCUCGGGGGGCGCUCCAGCGAGUGAGCAGGCCCGGGCCGCGCGCUGGGGGCCGGGAGGAGGGGCUUUCUGAGCGCCCGGAGCAGAGCUCCGCGCGCGGCUCGCGCGGCUUCCUUUUGUUGUGUGUGUACGUGUGUGAGUGUGCGCGCGCGUGCGUGAGUGCGCCCGUGUGCAGGGAGGCGGCGGCGGAGCGUGGAGAAGCCGGGGCUGGUCCUGUCCGGGCGGCUGGUGCGCCCCGGCCUUGGCGGGUGCUGGGCCUCCCAGACACCCGUCUUCCGGGUCCGGGCCGCGGCGCAGUCGGGCCCCUUCGCCAGCGCGAUGGCAAACUUUGGUAGAGAGAGGAAUCAACAGCUUGGAAAUUCAGCCAAGUGAUCUGGCAGGAUGGGCAUUUGCCUGGCAUAUUUUAUAGAGGUAAUUUAACACUGUUUUAUUCAAUCUUUAAUUUUUACCUGUAAUAGAUCCCCAUGUGCUUGAACAUGAGCACACCUAUCACAAGUGUUGGGUGGUACUCUGCAUUUACUGGACAAUCCCUUUUCCUUUUAAUUCUCACUUGUAUAUACCAUGAGUAUUACAUAUACGUAACAUGAUAUCACUCUGUAGAUAUGAACAUCUGUACAUUGAAAAGAAUUAAUGUUUUUAGUUUUAUAGGAUGAAGACCAUUUUCUUGUCACUUAAGUAGGUUACUUGCAUGUCUCUUUUUUGGGCCACAGUUCCCUUAUUUUAAGAAGACAGGUGAUCCUUUCUUGUUGGCCUAUGUUGGUACAUAUAUGAGACCUGUGCUUUUAUCUUUCAAACAAAGUGAAAGAAAAUUAAAUAUUUAACAAUUUUCAGAGUAUUUACGUAUCUGUCAGUGGCACAUAUUCUCAUAUCAAUUAAUGAUCAUAAAAAUUCUAAAAUUUCUUGUAAACUUCACUUGUUUUGAGAAUUCUUUUAAAGUGAGAAUGUGAAACUGUUAGCAGUUUUAGUGGCCAUUUUCCAAGAUUUCCCUCUUUUUC
rnacentral:lncRNA from 1 species